UCAUUAAAACCGCAGCUUGAUUUUACCCCAGGCCUUCUCUCCGGGAACUGAGCUCUAAUUUUCGGCCUGAAUUCGACAUCGCAAACCUGGUUGUGGGUCUGGGAAAUGGGGCUGUUCUGCAGCUGAUCGAAGAGUUCCGAUCAGCAACUGCUUGACCGAGAUAGUCCUCAGCAUGAGGAACAUCUUCAAGUUGUGAAGCAUAAGCAGUUGUAGAACUAAUUGUCAUAUGAAAAAAAAAGUGUGCUAGGCGGAUGUCACAUCAUCUUUCUUCGGCAGUCCCUCGAGAAUGACUUGCUUCUACUCCAGUUAAAUGGGUCCUGAGAUGACUGCUAAGUCCAAUGCACGAUCUUCAGGCUCUGCCACACCUGGGGAAGAGAUGGAGUCAACAAUGAUCUGGAACUCAGUUUCUGAGUUAGCACACACAGACAAACACCAGGACUGAGAUUGGAGUAGUUUUGCAUUUGGACUGAAGGUGGCGUAGGUUGAACAGUUUCCCGUCCUGCAGAUUAUCUGGACAUCCGUGAGUAAUUUGCUGGAGGCUGUCUCGAAUUGCAAUUGUUACGAAGAAGUGUCACCCUUCAUUCAGCUGGCAGUGCUAUCACC